CAGCAGUCGCCGCGGUAAAACGAAGGGUGCAAGCGUUACUCGGAAUUACUGGGCGUAAAGCGUGCGUAGGUGGUGGUUUAAGUCCGUUGUGAAAGCCCUGGGCUCAACCUGGGAAUUGCAGUGGAUACUGGGUCACUAGAGUGUGGUAGAGGAUAGUGGAAUUUCCGGUGUAGCAGUGAAAUGCGUAGAGAUCGGAAGGAACAUCUGUGGCGAAGGCGACUAUCUGGGCCAACACUGACACUGAGGCACGAAAGCGUGGGGAGCAAACAGGAUUAGAUACCCCAGUAGUCCCUGUCUCUUAUAA
rnacentral:rRNA from 1 species